ACUAGAUAUAAUAAUGAUAUAUUAAUAAAUAAAUUUCAUGUAGCUGUACAUUUUUUAAAUUUGAAAUUACACGGUACAAUGUUGCCACUAUUAAAGACAAAUUAAUUUUUUUUUCUAUUGGCAACAAAAGUAAUUAUUUUUUCGUCUCCAUCACUUCUUCUGCAGCAGAAGAUAAAACAGUUGCAGAAGAGUAAUCAAAGAAGACACAAAUAUUUAGAUAAAUCAAAGUAAUAAAAAGAAAAAGUAAUAUGACUACUACUUCAACGAUACAAGAAUCUAAGGAAAAAACGAGAGAAAUUUUUACAUGUUCUUUCUGCCCUUUACAAGAAUAUUUUGAUUUUAAGGGCACGAAACCUCCUUUCGCACGACAUAUCACUUAUUCAGAGGAAUGUUAUAUUAUGAAAGAUCCUUUUGAUUUAUCAGCAAAAGGUGUUCUAGUUAUCGGUGGCGAUUGUAAUAUUUGCAAAAAGCCGGUGUGCUUAGGAUGUAGUAUAUUUUUUACCAAAAGAUUUUGUCAAACUUGCGCUACCAAUAAUUCGGAUAAAUUACCAUUACAAAUUCUUUCGAAAAUUAAAACAUGAUACAUUAGUUAUAU